UUCACCUUCUCAUAACAGAAAGCAGGAAAUUUGCAGACAUGAGAAUCAUUUCUGUGUUAAUGUAAUUCUCUAGAGUGCAGCCUACACAUGACUGAUAACGACAUAAAGGAUCAUUUAUCUAAUUAUUAUCAUUUUCAUGGAUUAUGGUGUAGAUUCAGAUUAAUUUGAGGGAACUGGAAAUAGAUCACUUUUCAAUCUGACCUUCACAGGAAGCGUUAAUUACAUCACAACACGUUCAUAUCAUUAUUAAUAAUAACAAACAGCUGAAUUAUUUCCCACAUUAAAUUGAUAUGGAGAUGAAACGGGGUGUGAGUGUGAUUAACAGCUGCAGAGCUGCACUCAACACAGCCUCUCUGUAAUGUUUAUGCAAAUCUGCAUCUCCUCUUGUAAUAUUAGCAGCGUUCUGAUCUAGAGAGGAAACACUUCUCAUUAGUCUUCCUUCAACACAAACAUGUUUGCUUCAGCUCCACUGCUGCUGCUGGCUCUCGCCCCCUAUGUGUUCUGUGCUACUGAGCUCAUCCAGCCAGACUCACUGCUUAUAAAGCCAGGAGAGACUUUAACCAUCACCUGUAAAGUGUCUGGAGCUUCUAUCACUGAUAGCAGCAGCCACAUUGGAACAGCUUGGAUUCGACAACCUGCAGGAAAAGCUUUAGAAUGGAUCAACACCAUUUAUUAUAGUGGGAGUAUUGAUAAGAAAGAUUCAUUUAAAGACAAGUUUGUGGUCUCUCGAGACACUUCCAGUAACUCUGUGACCUUACGGGGACAGAACACGCAGACUGAAGACACAGCUGUGUAUUACUGCGCUCGAAGACCACACAGUGACAUGACAAGCUGCAGUGCUGCACAAAAACCUCAUCACAAUUUACUUCUUUAAUUAAAUAAUAACUACAUUUUACUGAGUAACUAAUCCCCAUAUUACAAUUAUUUCAGCAUAGACACCAACACUGGCAUUAAUAAAAUAAAUAAAUAAAAGUUUACUUAGGAAUAAUGGUCUCUUUUUAUAACUAGUUGAAAUGAAAUGUGUCUGCAAAAGACAUUUAUUAUAAAGAACAACAUCCAUUCACACUCAGCACUCAGGCUUUAACUCUUCAUCU